rnacentral:rRNA from 1 species
UACGGAGGAUCCAAGCGUUAUCCGGAUUCAUUGGGUUUAAAGGGUGCGUAGGCGGGCUAAUAAGUCAGUGGAGAAAGCCCAUCGCUUAACGAUGGAACUGCCAUUGAUACUGUUAGUCUUGAGUACAUUUGAUGUGGGCGGAAUAUGACAUGUAGCGGUGAAAUGCUUAGAUAUGUCAUAGAACACCGAUUGCGAAGGCAGCUCACAAAACUGUAACUGACGCUGAGGCACGAAAGCGUGGGGAGCAAACAGG